rnacentral:lncRNA from 1 species
AGUCUCUGGCCUCCACUCAGAGAUGGAGGCUGGGGCUUGCUCUCUUCACAGUCUUGUAUCCGGCCAUUCUCUUAGGAGGAUUUCCGGCUGACUGAUGGCAGUGAUAAGAACGCUGCUUCUGGAAUGUUGCAGCCACCUGAAAUGGACUGCCCGUGCACUGUGUGGUUUUGGUUGGGGCAAUUAAAAGAAUAUUGACCUGGAACUUUAUCAAGCCUUCAGAACAGUCAAAAUUUCUGCAAAUCUGCAUACAUCAAAAUGAGCUACAAACUAAAGAAGCGUUAUUUCCCCCAUAAAGAUCUGUUAUUUGUUAAUUCAAAUACUUUCAGUUACCCAAGGAUAACAGCCGUCCAGAAGCAAAUGAGCCUCCUUCUGCCAUAUCCUGUCCUCAGAAAGUCGACAGUAGCAUAAUGCUGCAUCAUGAUGCCUACAUCAUUCACUUCUCUUCACCUCCUCACAUAGGCAUUGUAUCAUUGCACAUCAUCAGAGAAGAAAGGGCCAAGAAAGUGGGACAUAAAAGAAGACCAUUCUCCAAAGACUACUGUAAUCAGAACAUCCACCCUCUCUGUAGGCCCAGGAACGAGGAGGCCGGCUGUCCUCAGGCUGCUUUGCCCCAGGACUCACAGUCGGAUCAUCUAGACGUUGAGGUCCGAGCCCUGAGCACCUGCCUGCCUGGAAUGAGCUGGGUCUUCCAGUGGGCCAGAGAACCCUGCAGUGUCAGCGCCGAGGCCCUCUAACUGAUGAGAAGACUUGUACAAGCUUAGACAGUAAGCAGAAUGA